GGUGUGCAGGCCUGUACUGCUAGCUAUUCAGAAGGCUGAGGCAGGAGAAUUGCAAGCCCGAGGCCAGCCUGGGCAACUUAGCACGAUCCUGUCUCAAAACAAAGAGCCUGUGUGCCCCUGGGAGCCAGCACCAGGCCCGGGCCAGGCGGACCUGUGGGGGCUGCUCUCGGACAGGGGCUGGCCCUGGCCCCGAACUCCCUUGACCUAAGGGCAGCACCCUCACCUGGAGGCCCCACUGUGACAGAUGUCUGGCCCCCUGCACCCCCAGUCCCAGUAUCCUGGCCAGCUCCCUGCCCUCCAGUUGGGCCCAGGCGUCGGUCCUCCUGUCUGCCCCAGUCCCCUGGCCUCACCCCAAACCCUCCGCAAGCUCCUGGCCCAGCCGCGGCGUCUGGAAUCCCAGGCUUUCCGUCACCGACAGUCUGCCUCCUCCAGGGCGGGAUUGGGCGGACGGUUCUCUGCCUGCACCUGCGCUGGCCUGAAGGGCCCUGCGCGGUUCCUCAGGAUGGAAGGCCCUGGAGCACCCCAAAUCCACGAAGCCCCCCAAAUCGCCCGCCUCUCAAGAGCCCACUGCUCCCCAUCGCGGACCGGCAGCGCCACCUGGUGUCAAGACGCGCUCACUGCACACGGCGGCCUCGCACUGGUGCACCUCCCCUCACCUGCUCUAGCGCUGGAGGGGGCCCGCGCACCUGUAAAACGUUAGGGGGACCCCAGAAGGUGCGCAGGGGCAGGAGGAGCCGCAGACAAGGGCCUUGUACAGCCCGGGCGUGCUGAGCCCGACCUGUCCUCGCAGAGCUCAGAGAGUGCCUCUUUUUCCGGCAAACCAAAGCCCACGCUGCAGGACCAGGGUGUCACUAACAUGCCUCAUCACCCACGGGACAUUUUUACUCUUAGUCCUGUUCCCCCCGGCACUGGGGACUAGAGGAGCAGUGCGGAGCUAGCCAGGCAGGCCCUCCCAGAAAAAUGCUGUUCAAACUUGGAACUUCCAACUGGCGUGAUGACGCACGCACACUUGUAAUCUCAACACUCAGGAGGCUGAAGCAGGAGGAUCACUGCCCUGGGACCCUUCACGGAACUGUGCCGGCCGGAGUGAGGAGCAGGAAGAGGAACCCACCGCCUGCUAAGCACCUGUGGUGUCCCAGUUCCAGUGCCAGAUCCAGGCGACUCCAUCUAUCGCUGGCAAUAGCCCGUUUGGGGAAAUACCGCCCAGUUACAGAGAGAAGGCUGCAAAAGACGGAAAAGCUCAGCGGGCGUCUAGCCUGGCGGCGCAGCAGACGCCAAGCGUGCAGGAGGCCCUGGGUUCCAUCCCCAGCACCAAAAGUACAGAA